GUCCACGCAGUAAACGAUGAAUACUAACUGUCCGGGCAGAUUGAUGUCUGGGUGGUACAGCGAAAGCGUUAAGUAUUCCACCUGGGGAGUACGCCGGCAACGGUGAAACUCAAAGGAAUUGACGGGGGCCCGCACAAGCGGAGGAACAUGUGGUUUAAUUCGAUGAUACGCGAGGAACCUUACCCGGGCUCAAACGACGGAUGAAUGUUUUUGAAAGGAGGCAGUCCUACGGGACAUCCGUCGAGGUGCUGCAUGGUUGUCGU
rnacentral:rRNA from 1 species